UUCUGAGUCCACACUCCUGUUCUUUACUCUCGAUGACACAUCUGCAUGGAAUGCACCUCCCCCACUCUUCAGAUGACACUCAUUCUCAUCGCCCUGCCUAGCCGUCACUCCUGGGAAAGGGCCAAGGGCCUCUCUGCCCAGCACUUCCAAAGUCAUCCUGUAUCACCACCCCACAGUGACUCACUGUCACAGCACAGCCUAUGUUUUCCUGGAUGAAUACGUGUUCGUUAACAUGUCCCCCUAACUCUUCAGAGGGUUAAGGGAACUCCAGGGUUUGCAGCCUGGUCAGCAGUGAGGAUGGGGUACAACUGCUGGAGGCUGAAAGUGGGGACAGAGGGGCCUCGGGCUCACUCUCAUGCACAGAGGGGGGAUGGGUCUGUGCCAGCCUCCCGGCGAGGCCCACCUGUGGACAAAGGGUGGGAACUCGGCAGAGAUGUCACUUGGCUCCGUUUGGUAACUUGUUGCUCUAAGGCCAGAGCUCAUUCUGGCCCCUGCAUUCCCAGCUGCUGCUGCUCGGAGCAGCUAACCUGAGAUGAGUUGCAGCUCAUGGUCCAGAGGGAAGUGGGGGGAGGGGAGAGGGACGAGAGAGCUUCCUGUGUCUUCCCGGCUCUCCACAGACAUCACUUUUGCUUGGGAUCUUCCAGAAAUAGAGGAAGCCCUCCCCGCUGAAUGGUCCGUUCCUCCUAUAGUCUCCUGCGGCUGUCAUCAUCCAGUGACCUCACCAGCGCUCCUGUGAUCGUGCCCUUCGCUCAGUGACUCAUCUGUUGUUACCCUGAGCUAUGGGGAACGCCCUCAUCUUCUUCCUCAAGGAAUUUCUAAGCCUCUGAUUAUGGCUUUGGUUACCAAUCCACCCCUGGUUUCUGUGAAAUGGGAUAUUCAUUCCAGGACACCCUACCUUCUAGGGCUGGAGUAAGUUUGCAAAUGCUCACUGUAAACUAAAGCUCUGUGC